GAGUUGUAUGAAAGGAGAGACGGUUAGCACUCCCCUUGACAAGGAUGGAAGAGGCCCUUGUGGUCUUCAACACACAUAUGGUAGGGCUGGUAGUAGCCUAGUGGGUAACACACUUGCCUAUGAAUCCCACUUACUACCAUUGUGU
ensembl:snRNA U6atac minor spliceosomal RNA